GACGAACGCUGGCGGCGUGCCUAAUACAUGCAAGUCGAGCGAAGUUUUUCUGGUGCUUGCACUAGAAAAACUUAGCGGCGAACGGGUGAGUAACACGUAAAGAACCUGCCUCAUAGACUGGGACAACUAUUGGAAACGAUAGCUAAUACCGGAUAACAGCAUUAACUGCAUGGUUGAUGUUUGAAAGUUGGUUAUGCUAACACUAUGAGAUGGCUUUGCGGUGCAUUAGCUAGUUGGUGGGGUAAAGGCCCACCAAGGCGACGAUGCAUAGCCGACCUGAGAGGGUGAUCGGCCACACUGGGACUGAGACACGGCCCAGACUCCUACGGGAGGCAGCAGUAGGGAAUCUUCCGCAAUGGGCGAAAGCCUGACGGAGCAACGCCGCGUGAGUGAAGAAGGA
rnacentral:rRNA from 1 species